CUCCCUUUCCCACAGUUUCUGGACAAAAUGGAUAAAAGAUUUGCUUACCCACUGAGGAUCCAAGGCUUUCUUGUGUCCAGGGUAGUAGACGUGUGUAUCUUCUAGGUGUGGGUUCUGCAGUGCUGCACGGAAACCCACUGCAGCCUCAGACCGGCGGUGGCAGCGGCAACAGCAGCAGCGGCGGCGGCAGCAGCAGCAGCAGCAGGGGCGGCAGCAGCUUCUCCCAACGCUGAGUAGUAAAGUAAAUGAGGAGGUGUGGUCCCAAAAUAUGAAUAGAGAAAAAUAUGGAAAAUAUUCUGCAAUUGAUGUUUUUGCACAGCCUUUGUUAACUACCUGUGUGAUCUUGAGCAACCUCCUAGGGACUUCCCUGGUGGUGCAGUGGUUAAGAAUCCACCUGAAUGCAGGGGACACGGGUUCGACCCCUGGUCUGGGAAGAUCCCAUGUGCCACGGAGCAACUAAGCCUGUGAGCCACGACUACUGAGCCUGCGCUCUAGAGCCAGAGAGCCACAACUACUGAGCCCAUGUGCCACAACUACUGAAGCCCGUGCGCCUAGAGCCCGUGCUCCGCAACAAGAGAAGCCGCUGCAAUGGGAAACCCACGCACCGCAGCGAAGAGUAGCGCCUGCUGGC